ncrna:Mus musculus (house mouse) microRNA mmu-mir-218 precursor (mmu-mir-218-2)
GGGCUUUCCUUUGUGCUUGAUCUAACCAUGUGGUGGAACGAUGGAAACGGAACAUGGUUCUGUCAAGCACCGCGGAAAGCAUC